AUGGCCCUAAUUUUGGUAUCAUCAUUUUCCCUCACUCAAAAACCCUUCAGAAUACAUAGAAAGAGAAGAGGAAAAGAAGCUUUCAAAAAGUCAAAAAGAUAUUACCGAGAGAGCACUCGAUCGACUGGAAAAUUCACAAAUCAUUCAUCGCUACCUCAUCAUCCUCGCCGUUCUUUUUUUAUCAAAUCAGCAACCAGUUCAGAAACAAGAAGUUUCCAGCUUACAAAACCCAUCCUAGAAAAUAAUGCAGAAAAAAAACCAAAAGGAAAUUAG